rnacentral:ncRNA from 1 species
UACGAUAAGGGCAAACCUAUUGAAAGAUAGGGACGCAAAGCCACGGGCCUAAAACGAUGGCAGCCGGGUUACCGAAA